rnacentral:rRNA from 1 species
AACGAACGCUGGCGGCGUGCCUAACACAUGCAAGUCGAACGAGAAGUCCGGGCCUUGGGGCGCACGGGUACGUGAGGAGGGGGAAGCUGCCCGUAGGUUACGUAUCCCUCACCGAAGGGGGUGCUAAUAAAGGAUAGUGUCUUCGGGCCAAAGAUUUUUUGCCAUUGGAUGGGCCCGCGUUGGAUUAGCUGGUUGGUAGGGUAAAAGCCUACCAAGGCGAGGAUGCAGAGCUGGUCUGAGAGGAUGAUCAGCCACGCUGGGACUACGACACGGCCCAGACUCGUACGCAAGGCAGCAGUGGGGAAUAUUGGACAAGUGGCGAAGGCCUGAUCCCGCAAUGCCGCGUAAGUGAUGAAGGCCUUAGUGUUGUAAAGCUCUUUUACCCGGGAUGAUAAUGACGGUACCGGGAGAAUAAGCUCCGGCUAACUCCGUG